UUUUUAUGACUUGUUAUUUAUGUGUUUAUUGUAGUAAAGGUUUAUAUUUUAAAAUAAUUUAUAAAGGUAAAUUAAUAGUAGUUAUUAAUGAAUAAAAAGUAGAUGGCUAUAAUAGAAAAGUACUGUGAAGGAAAGUUUAAAUCAUAAUUAUAAAAAGGAAAAGUAAGGGUGAAAUUCUGUACCUUGGGUAUUAGGGAUAAUCAAUAUAUUAUUAAUUAUUAUUAAGUAUCUCGAAAUAAAAAUAGUUAAUUUUAUAAAAGAGUUUUUAUAAUAUAAAGAUUUUUAAUAUAAAAUUAGAAGUGAAAUGUUAAUCGGGUUUUAUAAUAUCUAGUUCUUUAAAAAAUAAAUUUAAUUUAGUCUUUAUAAUUAUAAAAUAUAAAGAAAGAAAAUAGAAGGGGAAAGCUUUUUAUUUAGAAAAUAGUUAUAAAUAUAGAUAAUAGAUUAUCUAAGCUUAGAAGUAGCUAUGUUGAUAAAGUGUUUUAACUAAGAGUUGCGUUAAAUUAUUAUUUUUAUAAAUCUUUAUUAUAUAUUAGAGAAUUAUUUAUAAUUUUAAAUAAUAAAAUAUAAUGGUUUUAUUAGUAGAAAUUUUUAUUUAAGUAAUAAAUUAAAUAUUGAAUAAAAAUAUAAAAUAAUUAGGAUAGUAUAGAGGAAUUCGGCAAAAGGUUUCUUUGCCUGUUUAUCAAAAACAUGUUUAUUUGAAGUUAUAUAUAAUUUGGCCUGCCCCCUGAUUAUUAGUUAAAGGGCCGCAGUAUUAUAACUGUGCAAAGGUAGCAUAAUCAUUAGGUUUUUAAUUGAAAUCUCGUAUGAAUGGUCGGACAAAAGAAAAGCUCUCUUUAUAUUAAUUUUGAAUUUAACUUUUAAGUGAAAAGGCUUAAAUAUACUAAAGGGACGAUAAGACCCUAUAAAACUUUACAUUGUGAUUAUAUUUUAGUAAAUUUAUAAAUAAAGAUUAAAUUUGAUUAUUUGUUAGGCUGGGGAGGUACGAAUAAAUAUUAUUUUAACUGUUUGAUGAUUAUACAAUUAUUAGUGGGUAAGUAAAAGAUCCUUAUUUCAAGAUUAAUAGAUUAAGUUACUUUAGGGAUAACAGCGUAAUUUCUUUUGAGAGUUCUUAUCGAAAGAGAAGAUUGCGACCUCGAUGUUGAAUUAAAAUAUUCUAUAUAAUGAAGAGGUUAUAUAAGAAGGUCUGUUCGACCUUUAAAAUUUUACAUGAUUUGAGUUCAAACCGGUGUGAGCCAGGUUGGUUUCUAUCUUUUAGUAAAGAAAUAAUUAUUUUAGUACGAAAGGAGUAGAUAAUUGAAAUAAUUUUAAAUU
rnacentral:rRNA from 1 species